GCCAGCGUGGCUUAGUGGUUUCAGUGUUGUAUUGCAACUCUGAAGACCUGGGUUUGAUUCCCAGUUUGGCC